rnacentral:rRNA from 1 species
AUUGAACGCUGGCGGAAUGCUUUACACAUGCAAGUCGAACGGCAGCACGGGUGCUUGCACCUGGUGGCGAGUGGCGAACGGGUGAGUAAUAUAUCGGAACGUACCUAGUAAUGGGGGAUAACUAGUCGAAAGAUUAGCUAAUACCGCAUACGCCCUGAGGGGGAAAGCGGGGGAUCGUAAGACCUCGCGUUAUUAGAGCGGCCGAUAUCUGAUUAGCUAGUUGGUGGGGUAAAGGCCCACCAAGGCGACGAUCAGUAGCUGGUCUGAGAGGACGACCAGCCACACUGGAACUGAGAUACGGUCCAGACUCCUACGGGAGGCAGCAGUGGGGAAUUUUGGGACAAUGGGCGCAAGCCUGAUCCAGCCAUUCCGCGUGAGUGAAGAAGGCCUCGGGUUGUAAAGCUCUUUCGCAAGGGAAGAAACGAUAUAGACGAAUAAUCUAUGUUAAUGACGGUACCUUGAUAAGAAGCACCGGCUAACUACGUGCCAGCAGCCGCGGUAAUACGUAGGGUGCGAGCGUUAAUCGGAAUUACUGGGCGUAAAGCGUGCGCAGGCGGUUUUGUAAGUCAGAUGUGAAAUCCCCGGGUCUCAGCCUGGGAACUGCGUUUGAAACUACAAGGCUAGAGUAUAGGAGAGGGGGGCUAGAAUUCCACGUGUAGCAGUGAAAUGCGUAGAGAUGUGGAGGAAUACCAAUGGCGAAGGCAGCCCCCUGGCCCUAAUACUGACGCUCAUGCACGAAAGCGUGGGGAGCAAACAGGAUUAGAUACCCUGGUAG